UGACUCCAAUUGAACCGCAGCUUCACCCCUUGUGGUGCUCCCCCGCCAAUUCCUUUAAGUUUCAUACUUGCGUACGUACUUCCCAGGCGGCAGACUUAACGGCUUCCCUGCGGCACUGCAUUGGCCACAAGCCAAUGCAUCACCGAGUCUGCAUCGUUUACAGCUGGGACUACCCGGGUAUCUAAUCCGGUUUGCUCCCCCAGCUUUCAUCCCUCACCGUCGAACGUGUUCUGGUACACCGCCUUCGCCACAGGUGGUCUUCAAUAGAUCAAAGGAUUUUACCCCUUCCUAUCGAGUACCGUGUACCUCUCCCACUCCCUAGCUGCACAGUAUUUUCGGCGGCCUAUACGUUAAGCGCAUAGAUUUAACCGAAAACUUAUGCAACCGGCUACGGAUGCUUUAGGCCCAAUAAACCUCCUGACCACUCGAGGUGCUGGUUUUACCGCGGCGGCUGACACCAGAACUUGCCCACCCCUUAUUCACCAGUGAUUCUACAACUGACAAAAGACUCCUUUAGCAGGAGACACUCGGAUUAACCUUGUCGUGCUUUCGCACAUUGCAAAGGUUUCUCGCCUGCUGCGCCCCAUAGGGCCUGGGUCCGUGUCUCAGUUACCAUCUCCGGGGCCCUCCUCUCAGAGCCCGUACCUGUUAUAGCCUGGUUGGGCAUUAACUUACCAAAAAGCUGAUAGGC
rnacentral:rRNA from 1 species